UACGGGGGGGGCAAGCGUUGUUCGGAAUUACUGGGCGUAAAGGGUUUGUAGGUGGCCGAUUAAGUCAGACGUGAAAUCCCUCAGCUUAACUGGGGAACUGCGUCUGAUACUGGUUGGCUUGAGUGCAGGAGAGGAAUGCGGAAUUCCAGGUGUAGCGGUGAAAUGCGUAGAUAUCUGGAGGAACACCGGUGGCGAAGGCGGGUCUCUGGGCCGAUACUGACGCUGAGGAGCGAAAGCGUGGGGAGCAAACAGG
rnacentral:rRNA from 1 species